CAACAACAACAAGAAGAAGCCAAUCACUGUUAAACUCGAUAAGAAUAAGACGGCUGCUAUUCUCGAGCUCGCUCUAAUCACAUCUGUUCUGUAUAUCCGUUCGCAACGGACAGUGUUCACUUCUUCGUUUGACAUCCGUAGACGUCUUUUUGCGUUGGAUUUAGACUGCGCUUUAUUGGUUGACCGACGAUUGCGCUCGAAUUCAAACAGGAGACAUUGUGCACGCGGAGGUGUGGCCACAGAAAACACAGCGCGUGCAUAACAUUCUUCGCUCUUCUGUAUAAGUGCAUGUAAGUGAAUGCUUUUUCCUCUCGUGAAAGAUUGCACAAGGGCUGUAAUGUUCAUUUGCACGUCGUUCAAUAUGAAGGUAAAGACUGUGCACUGUAUGGUUCCCAUGAAGAUAUACGUUGCAUAAGCUAGUGAGCGCCUCGCCUUUGCAACAACACCUACACUUAUUUGCCAAAGCACAAUCCGAUCUGAAAAGAUAAUAUACAGAAAUGAAAUACAACUGCGAAUUUACACUGAAACAAAACAUUAUGACCACUCACAGGUGAUGUGCGAAUAACGUUGAUCAUCUCCUAACAAGGCCACGUGUCAAGGUUUGGGUAGAUAAGAUGGAAAGCGAACAAUCAGUUCUUGUAAAUGAAGAAGAAAUGGACAUGGGUGAAGACCUGAGCGACUUUGACAAGGGCCAAAUUGUCAUGGCCAGACGACUGGGUCUGAGCAUCUCUGAUACGGCAAGGCUUGUGGGGUGCUCCCGGUCAGCAGUGGAAGCAAGUGGAUCGCCAACUCCAGAAAAACAAAGAGUACGACCAAAGAGUAGCAGAAAUAAAGGACCUUCCAAGAGAAAAGCAUCGGCUGGAGGAAAACCGAAGGGAAGGCCUAAGAAAGAGUGAUGUUAGACGCUGUACUGCCAUCUAUCGAUGUGGAUCAGCAUGAUCGUCUCUGCUGCCCCCAUCAACUUUGGAAUAUCAUUUGCAUCUGGAAAAGGUUUGAGGAGAAGGAAAAACAGGCACCUCAGGACUCGUCUGAGGACGCUGAAGAUGACGAGGAAGAACAGUAAUUAUAUCUUACCGGAGCACUACCUCACACAACCAAACAAACUGCCCGUCUGCUCUUCAACAUGUGAAUCGCAGGGAAUGUCAUUUCACAAAAGGACAGUAAUAACUGUAAAGGAAAUAUUCUGCAUAAAUAUAUAAUGCGUUUUAUGUAAGUAGGUCAAAUAAAGAAACCAGAGUCAACCUACAUGAGAAAAUGUGUUUUUAGUAUUUAGUUUACUAAAAGUAUAUAUCUAUUGAACUAAAAUGCUUAACUACUUAUGUUUUGUUUGCAGCUUUGUUUUGUAUUUUAUCCAUGUUGUUGACUAGCUAUAAUUUAACUCAUAUGCUGUCUUUAAAAUUGUUUUAACCUAAUUUGGUCUUCCCGGUCAAAAAUGACCGGCCUGUUACAAAUGGCUUGUAAAUCUAAUUUUGCUAUUUUAUCACCAAAUAUCAGAUUACAUCUUUUUGUCAACUCGUUUUUAUUUCAAUUAGCACAGGCUUUGUACUUCUAUCUGCAACUUAUUGACUGUAGACCUCCUUGACCUGAGCUUAUGCACCUCCGUUUUGCCGGUUAAUUUGUAUUAGGAAUCAUAUGUCUGUCACAGUGACACUAUUGGUAAAUUUUGACGAAUUGUCCAAUUUUUAAGACAUUUUUGACACCAGCUAGGUGUUGCUGUUACAAAUUGCAGCGAAACUGAACUAUAAAUGUACUUAUUUGGUGUUUUGUGCUAAAUGAGACAUUCCAAAUAAUUCAUGUUUGGGAACUACACUGAUCAGCCACAACAUUAAAACCACUGACAAUGGGGUUUGUGGUUUGUCCCUCCUUGGGCCACUGUCGGUAGGUACUCGCCACUGCUAACCGGGAGCACCCCACAAGCCUUGCUGUUUCAGAGAUGCUCUGACUCAUUCGUCUUUCCAUAACAACUUGGCCCUUGUCAAAGUCACUCAGGUCUUUACUCCUGCCCAUUUCUCCUGUAUUUAACAUGUUGCCUAUAGGAACUGAUUGCUCGCUCACCAUCUAAUCUACCCAGACUUAUGGCCUUGUUAGGAGAUGAUCAAUGAUAUUCGCUUCACCUGUAAGUGGUCGAUGUUUUGACUCAUCAGUGUAUAUCUCACCUGAGGUAUGAGGUUUUUCUGAAAUGUCUUUAGCUUGGCUUUCUUUCUGCCAUUCUUGGUCACCACAGUCUCCUCAUAGAACUCAUUAGCCAGAUCUCCAUCUUCAUCAAAAUACAAGGAACUGCAAAUGACCCAACUUAACCAUGGUAAAAUAUGACCUAAUUCAAGUAACUCUAAAUCUGCAAAACCAGAACAUUGAUCUAAAAGUCAACAUUAAAUGACAUUUGUAAUUUGCAAUCCAUUUUACUUCCGUAAUGUGACAUUUCCAAGUGAAAAAAAUGGAGGACAAGAUUUGAUUGGUUACGUUGAUUAAUACAGGGGUUUUCUGGCCGGGAUAUAUUGGCGAGUAUUGACGCUGACUACCACCCCUGGAGUCACGAGUUCGAAUCCAGGGCGUGAUGAGUGACUCCAGCCAGGUCUCCUAAGCUACCAAAUUGGCCCGGUUGCAAUGACCUCCUCAUGGUCGCGAUUGGGGGUACACUAUCUAAAAGGGGCAUGUGGAGCCUCCACAUGCUGCGAGUCUCCGCGGUGUCAUGCACAGCGAGACACGUGAUGAGAUGCGCGGAUUGACUGUCUCAGAAGUGGAGGCAACUGAGACUUGUCCUACUCCACCCAGAUUGAGCUUGGGAACAUGAGUGAUUCAGAGAAACAAACUGUCUCCCUUAAAAACAAGGAUGGAGUGGAGAAAAGGGGUCGAGGGAGACCAAGAAAACAUCCAAAGGAAGCAAGUGGAUCGCCAACUCCAAAAAAACCAAGAGGACGACCAAAGGGUAGCAGAAAUAAAGGACCUUCCAAGAGAAAAGCAUCGGCUGGAGGAAAACCGAAGGGAAGGCCUAAGAAAGAGGAGAAGGUAAAACAGGCACCUCAGGACUCGUCUGAGGACGCUGAAGAAGAUGAGGAGGAAGAACAGUAAUUAUAUCUUACCGGAGCACUACCUCACACAACCAAACAAACUGCCCGUCUGCUCUCCAACAUGUGAAUCGCAGGGAAUGUCAUUUCACAAAAGGACAGUAAUAACUGUAAAGGAAAUAUUCUGCAUAAAUACAUAAUGCGUUUUAUGUAAGUAGGUCAAAUAUAGAAACCAGAAUCAACCUACAUGAGAAAAUGUUGAGUGUUAUUAGUAUUUAUUUUAUUACAUAUAUAUCUGUUGAACUGAGGUGCUUUACUACGUUUUGUUUGUAGAUUUGUUUUGUAUUUUGUCCAUUUUGUUGACUAGCUAUAAUUUAAAUGAUGGGCUCAAUAGUUCUCAUAGAAUACAUUAUUUUUUUGAAUGUAGCUGUUUACAGUUUACUAGUUCAAUUAGCUUUUUAUUAGAUGUUCCAUCUUACUAUACAACUGUCAGUGAAUAUUUCUUAAAGCAGGUUCUUGUAUUUUGUAGUCCUGUAUAGGUAACCCAGGCCUGGUGUUGAGGGAAUAAAUAUAUUUAACUUAAAAUACCAUUGUAAUUACCACUUGAAACCCCAGGAAUCGGCAUAACAAAGGUCUGUCACAAUGACACUACAGAAGUUAAUGGAAAUGUUGGUAAAUUUUAAAGAAUUGUCCAAUUUUUAAGCCAUUCUUAAUACCUGCCAGGUGUUGCUGGUACAAAUUGCCGUGAAACUGAACUAUAAAUGUACUUUUUGGUGUUUUGUGCUAAAUGAGACAUUACAAAUAAUCAUGUUUGGGAACUAUAUCCUAUAAUUAUAUUAAUUGUACCCAAAUCUAACAUUUCUGCCCCAAGCUUUUUUUUAAAUGGUUACUUUUCCAAUGAAAGCAGAAGGGUUUGGUGGAUGAAAACAUGAUGAAAAAAGCAGAAAUAACUCGUCAACCUAAAUAAUUAGCUAAAAAGCAUUGCAUACAGUAUAAUUCCUCAAGGUUAUCCACACACCCAAGUGCUUUUGGAAUACUUAUUUCUAAAUUAUUUAAACCACUUGCCUGUGUUUAUUUAAAUCACAACAUUUAGAAGCUGAAGGAUGUUCUCAAAGGUUGUUUAGACCCUUGUGUCUUGAGUUAUAAGACUAUUACAUAUGAAGAAAUGCAACCUAAAGCUUAGCCAAGUUGUCCUUAAAACACUGUGCAUUCAGAUCCUCAUAACUUCAGAAUUAUAUUCGCCUCAGGUAUUAUGGUGUCGUGAUCAGACAGCAAAAGCCCAAGAAAAUGUUCAUUUCCUCAGUAGUAAAAAUACCCUUUAUCCUGCAGUGAUUGUUCGUGAAUAGCAGUAGAAUAGCCUACAUGUAGGCAUACUGUAUGUGGGAUUUUGUUAAUGCAACAUUAGAGUUCCUUAAUGUGUAUUAGAUUUAUUGACUAUUCAUUUGUGUGUGUAAUGUGUGUUGAUCCUAAUAAAAAUACUUUUGCAAAAUA